rnacentral:lncRNA from 10 species
AGGAGGCGGGGCGCCUGUGGGAGCCGUUGAGGGCACUUUCCCAGUCCCCGAGGCGGAUCCGGUGUUGCAUCCUUGGAGAGAGCUGAGAGCUCGAGUACAGAACCUGCUAAGGCCAUCAAACCUAUUGAUCGGAAGUCAGUCCAUCAGAUUUGCUCUGGGCCGGUGGUACUGAGUCUAAGCACUGCGGUGAAGAAGAUAGUAGGAAACAGUCUGGAUGCUGGUGCCACUAAUAUUGAUCUAAAGCUUAAGGACUAUGGAAUGGAUCUCAUUGAAGUUUCAGGCAAUGGAUGUGGGGUAGAAGAAGAAAACUUCGAAGGCUUAAUCUCUUUCAGCUCUGAAACAUCACACAUCUAAGAUUCAAGAGUUUGCCGACCUAACUCGGGUUGAAACUUUUGGCUUUCGGGGGAAAGCUCUGAGCUCACUUUGUGCACUGAGUGAUGUCACCAUUUCUACCUGCCACGUAUCGGCGAAGGUUGGGACUCGACUGGUGUUUUUGAUCACGAUGGGAAAAUCAUCCAGAAAACCCCCUACCCCCACCCCAGAGGGACCACAGUCAGCGUGAAGCAGUUAUUUUCUACGCUACCUGUGCGCCAUAAGGAAUUUCAAAGGAAUAUUAAGAAGAAACGUGCCUGCUUCCCCUUCGCCUUCUGCCGUGAUUGUCAGUUUCU